rnacentral:tRNA from 1 species
UCCCUGGUGUCUCAGCAGGUUAAGGAUCAGUGUUGUCACUGCUGUGGUGUGGGUUUGAUCCCUGUCCUGGGAA